rnacentral:rRNA from 1 species
AAUGAACGUUGGCGGCAUGGAUUAGGCAUGCAAGUCGAGCGAGAAGUGUAGCAAUACACGGAAAGCGGCGGAAGGGAGAGUAAUACGUGGGAAUCUGCCCUUAGACCUGGGAUAGCAGCGGGAAACUGCUGGUAAUACCAGAUAAUGUCUAUGGACCAAAGGUGUGAUUCCGUCUAGGGAUGAGCCCACGUCCUAUUAGCUAGUUGGGAGGGUAAUGGCCUACCAAGGAGAUGAUGGGUAGCGGGUGGGAGGGCAUGACCCGCCUCACUGGGACUGAGACACUGCCCAGACACCUACGGGUGGCUGCAGUCGAGAAUCUUCGGCAAUGGGCGCAAGCCUGACCGAGCGAUGCCGCGUGCGGGAUGAAGGCCUUCGGGUUGUAAACCGCUGUCGAGGGGGAGCAACUUCCAUAGAGUUAUCUUUAUGGAUUGAGUGAUCCCUGGAGGAAGGACGGGCUAAGUUCGUGCCAGCCGCCGCGGUAAGAC